rnacentral:rRNA from 1 species
UGGGGAAUAUUGCACAAUGGGCGAAAGCCUGAUGCAGCGACGCCGCGUGGGGGAUGACGGCCUUCGGGUUGUAAACCCCUUUCAGCAGGGAAGAAGCGUAAGUGACGGUACCUGCAGAAGAAGCGCCGGCUAACUACGUGCCAGCAGCCGCGGUAAUACGUAGGGCGCAAGCGUUAUCCGGAAUUAUUGGGCGUAAAGAGCUCGUAGGCGGUUUGUCGCGUCGGCCGUGAAAAACUCAACGCUUAACGUUGAGCUUGCGGUCGAUACGGGCAGACUUGAGUUCGGUAGGGGAGACUGGAAUUCCCGGUGUAGCGGUGAAAUGCGCAGAUAUCGGGAGGAACACCAAUGGCGAAGGCAGCUCGCUGGGACGUGACUGACGCUGAGACGCGAAAGCGUGGGGAGCAAACAGGAUUAGAUACC